rnacentral:rRNA from 1 species
UACGUAGGCGGUGAUUCAAGUCAGAGGUGAAAGCCUGGAGCUCAACUCCAGAACUGCCUUUGAAACUAGAUCGCUAGAAUCAUGGAGAGGUUAGUGGAAUUCCGAGUGUAGAGGUGAAAUUCGUAGAUAUUCGGAAGAACACCAGUGGCGAAGGCGACUAACUGGACAUGUAUUGACGCUGAGGUACGAAAGCGUGGGAGCAAACA